rnacentral:rRNA from 1 species
GAUGAACGCUGGCGGCGUGCCUAAUACAUGCCAGUCGAGCGAACGGACGAGAAGCUUGCUUCUCUGAUGUUAGCGGCGGACGGGUGAGUAACACGUGGAUAACCUACCUAUAAGACUGGGAUAACUUCGGGAAACCGGAGCUAAUACCGGAUGAUAUUUUGAACCGCAUGGUUCAAAAGUGAAAGACGGUCUUGCUGUCACUUAUAGAUGGAUCCGCGCUGCAUUAGCUAGUUGGUAAGGUAACGGCUUACCAAGGCAACGAUGCAUAGCCGACCUGAGAGGGUGAACGGCCACACUGGAACUGAGACACGGUCCAGACUCCUACGGGAGGCAGCAGUAUGGAAUCUUCCGCAAUGGGCGAAAGCCUGACGGAGCAACGCCGCGUGAGUGAUGAAGGUCUUCGGAUCGUAAAACUCUGUUAUUAGGGAAGAACAUAUGUGUAAGUAACUGUGCACAUCUUGACGGUACCUAAUCAGAAAGCCACGGCUAACUACGUG